CCUAGCGGCAGACGGGUGAGUAACAUGUGGGAAUCUGCCUUUUGGUUCAGAACAACACGGGGAAACCUGUGCUAAUACCGGAUAAGUCCUAACGGAGAAAGUUUUAAUGCCAAAAGAUGGGCCCGCAUUUGAUUAGCUAGUUGGUAAGGUAAUGGCUUACCAAGGCAACGAUCAAUAGCUGUUCUUAGAGGAAGACCAGCCACAUUGGGACUGAGACACGGACCAGACUCC
rnacentral:rRNA from 1 species